CCUUUGGAGCGAUAUAGAAAAACUAGAUUAGCUUAGUUUUUAGUGAAAUAGGUCGCCAUGAAUUAGGAA
rnacentral:ncRNA from 1 species